UUUUUUUUUUUUUUUUUUUUUUUUUUUUUGGUGCAUCAGACAGCUCUAGUCUAGUGUUUGGAUGGAACACUGGUUUGCAUUUACUCUUGGCCUUGAAGUUAGCUUUUAUUCCUUAUCCUACUUGCACCCUCAAGAUCUGCUCCACCUAUUCAGGAAAUGCAUUCAUUUCUUAUAGUUUUUAAGAUCUGUAGGGCAAACCUUGAGUAUAGAAUAAGAAAAAGAGGAUUAUUUUUACUUUAAACAUUCUUUUCAAGUAUCUUUUCUUUAAACUCCAUUUCUGCUGGUCUUUUACAUAUUUAUACACAAUAAUCAAAUAUGGUUUUGAAAUGUAAAAUAUUUUCACAUAACUUUGAAAUUAUUUCCUUUUCCACUAAGAUAUCUGGAACAGCUGCCACUUGUCUUUUACUCAGCCAGGGUCCUUCUCACGUCUGAAAGGCAAAACUUUGAUACUCUGCUUUUGCUACAUCUAAAGUAGCUCCCUGUCCAUGCACCAGUAGAUAAGUAGAAUAUAAAUGUUGAGAUCUGUGAUGCAAAUGUCACAGAAAUAGCUGCACUAAAAGCAAGUAGGGAAACUACUGGAGCUCUAUAAAAUUUCCAGCAAUUUGUAUUAAUAAUCUGACUUUGUGGGUAAUUAAGCUGUUACCCUGUCAGCUCAAUAUGAAACUUUUUUAGCAAUUUGCAGGUCGACCCUUAUCCACAAACAAUGUAACACAAGUAAUGAUCUAAAGGCCUGUCUUAAGAUGAUAAUGUUUUGACUUCUGCACCCUUUUCCACAAAGUUAACAGGAAUUUUUAUGGAUCUGGAGUUCUCCUCAAGUAACUCAGUCAUAGCACAAAUAAGCAUAUGAUUCAAUCCCAUUCGGGGAGAGAAAAACAGGUUAUGCUUGCGCUUUUUUCUCUGUUGGGAAUACAGAGCAGGUUGGUUGCACUUCUCUUUUCCUAAAGUAAGCCCAAAUUUCUGUGUAAUGCAGAAUUCAACUCGGAGCAUUUGCAUACAACAGAAGGAGCACUGUGUGCUUCAGAAAGCUGUAAAUCCUAGUGCUGGGCUGAAACAGAGCCUGAGGGAAUGCAGCCUCGGCUGGCAGUGCCUCUUCAGGCUGACAGCUCCUCUUCUCAGAGAGGAGCAAGCACCUUCCCCUGUUUCUCCUCUGGUUGUAAAGUGGUGUUAGUUAGUAUGCUGCAGCUGUGCAGAUUUUCAUUUCUGAUAAAACUUAGCCUGAGAGGUAUUUGUUGAUGAUUGUCAACAAUCAGAUGAAUUAUAGAUGAUGUUGGUAAACAAAAUGCUGCCUUGAUGAAUGAUGACUUGGCUAUACUAUGACAUGACUGCUAAGUCAUUCAAAGCACUGAUUAAACCCAUUACAGUAAAAUAAUCACCAUCCAUUACCUUUAAUGUCGUGAACUGACAACCUAGUUAAGGCAGCUGAUGGUGUCAGCAAAAUGAUUUGUUGGUCUUCAUGUCCAAUGACAAUAAAUCACUUCGAUAAAUCAAUGAACAGUAGCAAUAAAACAAUAUAUUUUCAUUUUUCUUGACAUUCAAUUACAGAGUGUGUAUACAGACUUAUUCUUAAACAUUCAGUGAUAUGGCAGGAUUCAGCAUCCACCAGUAACUAAUACAUACAGUUCUUGAGAUCUUGUUUUGUCCAAUUGUGUUUUACCCUUGGUUUUGUUUUCUGCUGCAUCUGCUGCUGUGAUACAUCACUUGUCUUACAGAGCCAGAUUCAUUCUCAGGUAUAAAGGCAGAAUUUUUAUAUUCCUUUUCACUUUCUCUGAAGAAGUUUCUUCUUCUAAAUUGGUUUCUCUAAGUAUUGCAUUUUUUGCAAGACUUCAAGGAUAAUGAUUACAUUCCUCUUUUUUUCACCUUUCUGGUAUUACCUCUAGGUAAAUAAAGUCUAUUACUUGGCUUGCCGGUUAAACAAAAAGUGAACUUCAUCAUUUCAUCAACCUCGUCUGGCCUGAGGCUCCUGUGCUGCUCAUGAAUAAGCAGUGGAUAUACACUGCUAAAAGCCAAUUCAGCCAACAGGCACCGUUUCCUCCCUGUUCUGCUGUCACUGGGGCCCUGCUAAAUGCCAGUCCUGGCCCACAGACAAACAAAUUUGGGAGCACUGGAUUUUAUCCUUGAAGUACACAUCUGCAUCUACCCAUUUCUCUCUCUUGCCAUAGGUGUGUUCAUGAGGGAAUGUGUGAGCAAAUUUGCGGCAUGCAGAGAAAUACUAAACCCUAAACAUCAAUCCUACACUCACCAGAACUUGUGAAAGGCAAGACACUUCCCAGAUACUUGAUUCAUGCUUACCUCAAGAUUGACAAUGUCAAAAUCUUUAUUUAUUCUUUUUGGCUAAAGAAAAUGAAAAAUAAUUUUUUUCCCUGGGUUCCUUCCUCUUCCCCACCUAUGUGUACACACUCCCCCAGACUCUAAAAAUACCCUGAGGAAUUUUUUUAAUAAUUCAGGUUACCUAUUACCCAGGAGAGUCAUAAGAAGUCAGAGAUGGAAAAUAAGAUGGCUCUGGAUGCAGUGGAUUGUCUUUUCUGAGCUGUCCCACCAUUUGUGUGCCCUGAGUCUCUACCUGCUUGGACCUGGCUUGUUUGUGCCAUACUUGCAUUGCAAGAAGUUCGCUGCUCAUCAAGAGCAGGUAUUUUCCACAUUUGUACAAAAGAGAAGAUUCAGUUUUGGUUUCUGGUAGUGACUUAACAUGGGAUCUGUUUCCUUGAGCAUUUGCCUGCUGCAGACAGAAAGAGCAUCAAGAUGAAACUUUUCCAUGUGCCUACGUUGCAAGGCAUAUGAAAGAUUUUUCUCAUUUCUUUCUAAAAAUGGAUCUGUCAGUAGAAAAUGAUUGGUCUCAGUGGACAUAUGGGCAGUUAGACCUAGGAAAGCUGAAUGUCACUAUGGGAAGGUAAAAAUGAAAUGUUUGACUGUAAAUUAUGUUUUAUGUCAUAUUUAGAUUACAAUAUAAAAAAUGCAAGUAGUCAAUAUAAGUUAUGUAGCAGACAUGAGAACGUGUCAAGAAAUGCUCUAUUUUUGAUGAAAGUGAACUAUAACGGAGACUUGCAGUGACUUUGCAGGAGACAUAAGCUGAUCCUUGUUCCAAAAGUAAUAUGUGCAGCAAACACUUCUGAAAUGGCGAUU
ensembl:lncRNA